rnacentral:misc_RNA from 1 species
UGAUGAUGCAGCUAAGGAAACCUAUGGCAAGGUUCUUGGAAUUAUAUUCAGUCCAGUUCCUUUUCAAUCAGAAAAUUUGUUGAGUACACUGAGCUCUGAACAAGGUGCCGAUCAGAGGAAAAGUGGCCUACUUUGGGCAGCAUUGCAGGCAGUCUCUACUAGUUUGCUGAGGCACUUUUUUCACCCCAUUGAUGUAAAAUUGUUACAAGAUGUUGAUUUCCAUGUUCUUGAUUGGCACCAGCACAAGCAUAUAUUAGCCUUUAUUUCUGGACAACAUCAGGUGAGAAUACGUGAUUAUGAAGAUUCUGAGGGAGGGAGUCCUUGCGUUUUGAUCAAUGACUCCCAAAAAGAUGUUAGAAGUCUUUCAUGGCGGCCAAAUGGUGGGAGGGCACUUGCUGUGGCCUGCAAGGGUGGCAUUUGCAUUUGGGCUGCUUCAUUUCCAGGCAAUACAGCUUCAGUGAGAUCAGGUGUCACAUUGGGUACUCUUUCUAGAGGCUCAGGAACUAAAUGGACUCUUGUAGUCUUCCUUCUAAGUCCUGAACAAGAACAAAUUACUGCCCUUUCCUGGAGCCCAAACGGGAAGUAUUUGGCGUCAGCUUCAUUUGAGAGCUCUUCAUUCAUCAUUUGGGAUGUUGCUCAAGGAGUGGGAACACCUAUUCGACGUGGCUUAGGGGGCAUCUCCUUAUUGAGAUGGUCCCCAUCAGGAGAUUAUUUCUUCUCUGCAAAAUUUGAUGGGACAUUCUAUCUCUGGGAGACUAAUACAUGGACAUCAGAACCAUGGUCCUCAACUAAUGGUUUUGUCAUGGGAGCAGCUUGGGAUCCUGAAGGUAGUAGAAUACUCAUUGCUUUCUCUGAAUCUUCAACCUUGGGUUCCAUUCACUUUGCAACCAGGCCACCGUCUCUUGAUGCACAUCUUAUACCUGUUGAGUUGUCAGAUAUACAGUCCUUGACAGGAAGUCGAGGAAUAGAUAAGAUAGCAUGGGAUGCUUCAGGAGAGCGUCUAGCCUUGUCUUAUAGAGAUGGGAAUGACUUGUACAGAGGUCUUAUAGCAAUAUACGAUGUUAGAAGAAGUCCACUGAUUUCAGCAUCUUUGGUUGGGUUCAUUAGGGGUCCUGGAAAUGACACCAAGCCAAUA